AUGGCGGUCAAGCUCACGCUACCACCGGCAGAACUGCUUUCCCAGGUGGCCAAGCUAGGCUCCCUCCUCACCCUCCUCCUUCUCGCGCUGCUGCUGCCCGCCUUCCUCAGGGUCGCCUACGGCUACCUCCUCUUCAACGGCAUCGUCCUCGUACUCGGCAUCCAGGCCUUCGUCGGCAGCACAACUUCCAUCGCCGACGAGUCCUCGAGUACCGGUCAGGCUGUUGCGCCUGUCGGUGUCACGGCCUCGCCGUUCCAGAUGGCUGGAUCAGUCCGUCCGGACGACCGAAUGGCGGUUGCUGAUAAUGAUCGUGUGGUGGUUCCUGCCUUGGCGAGUAAUAUAAUCGAGCUGAAGAUCAAGACCAAGGAGGUGGUGCUGAAGGUGUUGAAGAAGUGCCCGUCGACGGCGAGCAUCUUCUUCCUCAGCGCGCUGAACGGCAGCCAAGCCGGUGGCGAGGAAAAGAUACGGCAAGAGGAGGAAGAAGACUGUGAAGUCGAGGUGGAUGGUUACGUGACGAUGAGUCGGCAGGAGCUUUUCGCCAACACGGAGAGGUUCAUCGGCAAUUUCCGCAAGGAGCUCAGGAUGCAGAGACAGUAG
rnacentral:rRNA from 1 species